rnacentral:sRNA from 8 species
GCUGUGUGCGGUGGCGCGUGCCUGUAAUCCAAGUCACUGGGAGGCUGAGGUUGGUGGAUCGAGUGAGCUGAGGAGCUCUGAGCUGCAGCAUGCUAUGUCGAACGGGUGUCCGUGCUAAGUUCGGUAUUGAUAUGGUGUUCUUGGGGGAGCCUGAGACCACCAGGUUGUCUAAGGAGGGGUGUACCGGCCCAGGUCGGAAACGAAGCAGGUCAAAUCCCCCGUACUGUCCAGU